rnacentral:rRNA from 1 species
UUUCGCAAUGCCCGAAAGGGUGACGAAGCGACGCCGCGUGUGGGAAGAAGGCCUUCGGGUUGUAAACCACUGUCGGGAGUUAAGAAAUGCAAGGAUAUUAAUAGUGUCUUUGUUUGACUAAGGCUCCGGAGGAAGCCACGGCUAACUCUGUGCCAGCAGCCGCGGUAAUACAGAGGCGGCAAGCGUUGUUCGGAAUUAUUGGGCGUAAAGAGCACGUAGGCGGCUAUGUAAGUCGGUUGUGAAAGCCUUCCGCUCAACGGAAGAACAGCAUCCGAUACUACAUGGCUUGAGUGCGGGAGGGGAGAGUGGAACUUCUGGUGGAGCGGUGAAAUGCGUAGAUAUCAGAAGGAACGCCGGCGGCGAAAGCGGCUCUCUGGCCCAUAACUGACGCUGAGUGUGCGAAAGCUAGGGGAGCAAACGGGAUUAGAUACCCCGGUAGUCCUAGCCGUAAACGAUGGGCACUAAGUAGAGGGGUUUU